AGUGCUCCUGACUGGAGAGCCCAGGCUGAGAUGGUGUUAAAUGCUUUUACCACGUGGGCUCCUGGCACCAAAUGAGCAAGCAAUGUCACCUUGAGAAAGUUACUCAAACUCUGUGUCUCAGUUUCAUCAUCUGUAAAAUGAGGGAUUGCUAGUACCUACUUGAAAGAUACUGCGAGUGAGGACAGCAAAAAUCAGCUAAUGACCAUGAACAGAUCUCACCCCACAGGCCUUGGAAACCUGAGGCAGUAUUCUUCUGGGAUGUUUCCAACUAGGCUUCCCAUGAGGAUGUUAGAGCCAGCCUGGCUGGUGAAUUUUACUUCUCUCACCUCUCAGAGGUAAGAGGUCUGAGAGGCUCAGGCCCUUCCAGCUUUUGAGGAUUCCAGCAUAGUAGAAACAUAAAAAGGUCCAAAGGGAAUUACAAAAAUAAUCUAUUUUCAGUUCUUAUACUUAACAAGUCAAUUCUUAUUAAAAAAAUAAAUCAAUCAAACUUUUGUUUGAUAUAAUUAUAGAUUCCAAGGAAGUUGUAAAGAUAGUACAGGAGGUCCCUGUGCAUCUUUCACCCAGUUUCCUCCAGUUUUAUGCCACUAGAGUACAAUAUCCAAACCAGGACAUUGACAUUGGAGCCAUAUGCAUGUAUAUUUCCAUGUCAUUUUAUCUCAUGUGUAUGCUCAUGUACCCAUCACUUCAAUCAGGUUAGAGACUAGACCAUCCCUCAUG
rnacentral:lncRNA from 1 species